rnacentral:rRNA from 1 species
GACGUAGGGCGCGAGCGUUGUCCGGAUUUAUUGGGCGUAAAGAGCUUGUAGGCGGUCAGUCGCGUCUGCUGUGAAAACUCGGGGCUUAACUCCGGGCCUGCAGUGGGUACGGGCUGACUAGAGUGCGGUAGGGGAGACUGGAAUUCCUGGUGUAGCGGUGAAAUGCGCAGAUAUCAGGAGGAACACCGGUGGCGAAGGCGGGUCUCUGGGCCGAUACUGACGCUGAGGAGCGAAAGCGUGGGGAGCGAACAGG